UCUUCCGUAGUAUAGUGGUCAGUAUGUGAGCUUGUCAUUCGACUUCGCUCGAGACCCGGGUUCAAUUCCCGGCGGGAGAG
rnacentral:tRNA from 1 species